rnacentral:rRNA from 1 species
UACGGGAGGCAGCAGUGGGGAAUCUUCCGCAAUGGACGAAAGUCUGACGGAGCAACGCCGCGUGAGUGAAGAAGGUUUUCGGAUUGUAAAGCUCUGUCUUCGGGGAAGAACGCAGGGUAGGUAAAUAAUCUAUCCUGGUGACGGUACCUGAGGAGGAAGCCACGGCUAACUACGUGCCAGCAGCCGCGGUAAUACGUAGGUGGCAAGCGUUGUCCGGAAUUAUUGGGCGUAAAGGGCGCGCAGGCGGGAAAUCAAGUCUGUCUUAAAAGUGCCGGGCUCAACCCGGUGAGGGGAUGGAAACUGAUCAUCUUGAGUGCAGGAGAGGAAAGCGGAAUUCCCAGUGUAGCGGUGAAAUGCGUAGAUAUUGGGAGGAACACCAGUGGCGAAGGCGGCUUUCUGGACUGUAACUGACGCUGAGGCGCGAAAGCCAGGGGAGUGAACGGGAUUAGAUACCCCGGUAAUCCUGGCCGUAAACGAUGGGUACUAGGUGUAGAGGGUAUCGACCCCUUCUGUGCCGGAGUUAACGCAAUAAGUACCCCGCCUGGGGAGUACGGCCGCAAGGUUGAAACUCAAAGGAAUUGACGG